GACGAACGCUUGCGGCGUGCUUAACACAUUCAAGUCUAACGUCAAGGCCCUGCUUUUGUGGGGUGCUCGAGUGGCUAACUGGUGAGUCACACGUUAUUUACCUGCCCUUCCCUUUCUGAUAACUUCAGUAUACUGCGGCUACUACCGGAUAGGAGCUCCUCCUGCGUGUUGGGGGUUGGAUCUUUUCGGCCGUUGUGUAUGGACUCGCGGCUUAUCAGCUUGUUGGUGUGGUAGUGGCUUACCAAGGCGUUGACGUGUAGCCGGCCUGAGAGGGUGACCGGCCAAAUUGGGAAAGAGAUACGGCCAAGACUUCUACGGGAGGCAGCAGUGGGGAAUAUUGCACAAUGGGCGGAAACCUGAUGCAGCAACGCCGCGUGCGGGAUGACGGCCUUCGGGUUGUAAACCGCUUUCGCCUGUGACGAAGCGUGAGUGACGGUAAUGGGUAAAGAAGCACCGGCUAACUACGUG
rnacentral:rRNA from 1 species